GUGCUUGCUUCAGCAGCACACACACUCAAAUCAGAACUAUACAAAGGUUAGCAUGGUCCCUGCACAAGGAUGACAUGGAAAUUUGUAAAGUGUUCUGUAUUUUC
ensembl:snRNA RNU6-288P RNA, U6 small nuclear 288, pseudogene